rnacentral:rRNA from 1 species
CGGAAUCUGCCUAUUUGUGGGGGAUAACGUAGGGAGACUUACGCUAAUACCGCAUACGACCUACGGGUGAAAGCGGAGGACCUUCGGGCUUCGCGCAGAUAGAUGAGCCGAUGUCGGAUUAGCUAGUUGGCGGGGUAAAGGCCCACCAAGGCGACGAUCCGUAGCUGGUCUGAGAGGAUGAUCAGCCACACUGGAACUGAGACACGGUCCAGACUCCUACGGGAGGCAGCAGUGGGGAAUAUUGGACAAUGGGCGCAAGCCUGAUCCAGCCAUGCCGCGUGGGUGAAGAAGGCCUUCGGGUUGUAAAGCCCUUUUGUUGGGAAAGAAAAGCAGUCGGUUAAUACCCGAUUGUUCUGACGGUACCCAUAGAAUAAGCACCGGCUAACUUCGUGCCAGCAGCCGCGGUAAUACGAAGGGUGCAAGCGUUACUCGGAAUUACUGGGCGUAAAGCGUGCGUAGGUGGUUUGUUAAGUCUGAUGUGAAAGCCCUGGGCUCAACCUGGGAAUUGCAUUGGAUACUGGCAGGCUAGAGUGCGGUAGAGGGUAGUGGAAUUCCCGGU